rnacentral:tRNA from 1 species
GGAGAAGUACCCAAGAGGCUCAAGGGGCUCCCCUGCUAAGGGAGUAGUAUGGAUUAAACCGUAGCGAGGGUUCGAAUCCCUCCUUCUCCGCCA